rnacentral:rRNA from 1 species
CCUACGGGAGGCAGCAGUGAGGAAUAUUGGUCAAUGGACGAGAGUCUGAACCAGCCAAGUCGCGUGAAGGAUGACUGCCCUAUGGGUUGUAAACUUCUUUUAUAUGGGAAUAAAAUGUUCCACGUGUGGGAUUCUGUAUGUACCAUAUGAAUAAGGAUCGGCUAACUCCGUGCCAGCAGCCGCGGUAAUACGGAGGAUCCGAGCGUUAUCCGGAUUUAUUGGGUUUAAAGGGAGCGUAGGUGGAUGGUUAAGUCAGUUGUGAAAGUUUGCGGCUCAACCGUAAAAUUGCAGUUGAAACUGGCAGUCUUGAGUGCAGUAGAGGUAGGCGGAAUUCGUGGUGUAGCGGUGAAAUGCUUAGAGAUCACGAAGAACUCCGAUUGCGAAGGCAGCUCACUGGACUGCAACUGACACUGAGGCUCGAAAGUGUGGGUAUCAAACAGGAUUAGAUACCCGUGUAGUC